AGUUUUAUAUUCAAUUGAUGAUUUCAAAUUGCAAAUUUGAAGGUGGGUUAUCCCUAAGGCUU
rnacentral:tRNA from 1 species